rnacentral:rRNA from 1 species
CUAGAAGGUUGACCUCGAAUCAGGUAGGAGUACCCGCUGAACUUAAGCAUAUCAAUAAGCGGAGGAAGAGAAACCAACAGGGAUUGCCCCAGUAACGGCGAGUGAAGCGGCAACAGCUCAAAUUUGAAAUCUGGCCUCGGGCCCGAGUUGUAAUUUGUAGAGGAUGCUUUGGGCGCCGGCGCCUCCCGAGUUCCCUGGAAUGGGACGCCAUAGAGGGUGAGAGCCCCGUAGGGUGGGAUGCCUAGCCUCUGUAAAGCUCUUUCGACGAGUCGAGUAGUUUGGGAAUGCUGCUCAAAAUGGGAGGUAAAUUUCUUCUAAAGCUAAAUACCGGCCAGAGACCGAUAGCGCACAAGUAGAGUGAUCGAAAGAUGAAAAGCACUUUGAAAAGAGGGUCAAAAGUACGUGAAAUUGUUGAAAGGGAAGCGCUUACGACCAGACUUGUGCCCUGUGGAUCAUCCGGCGUUUUCGCCGGUGCACUUCACUUGGCUCAGGCCAGCAUCGGUUUUCUUAGGGGGUUAAAAACAGCGGGAAUGUGGCUCCUUCGGGGGUGUUAUAGCCCGCUGCAGAAUAUCCUUAGGGGGACCGAGGACCACGCUUCGGCAAAGGAUGCUGGCG